UACGGAGGGUGCAAGCGUUAAUCGGAAUUACUGGGCGUAAAGGGCUCGUAGGCGGCCAACUAAGUCAGACGUGAAAUCCCUCAGCUUAACUGGGGAACUGCGUCUGAUACUGGAUGGCUUGGAUUCGGGAGAGGAAUGCGGAAUUCCAGGUGUAGCGGUGAAAUGCGUAGAUAUCUGGAGGAACACCGGUGGCGAAGGCGGCAUUCUGGACCGACAUUGACGCUGAGGAGCGAAAGCCAGGGGAGCAAACGGG
rnacentral:rRNA from 1 species